GAUGAACGCUGGCGGCGUGCCUAAUACAUGCAAGUCGAGCGAACAGACGAGGAGCUUGCUCCUCUGAUGUUAGCGGCGGACGGGUGAGUAACACGUGGAUAACCUACCUAUAAGACUGGGAUAACUUCGGGAAACCGGAGCUAAUACCGGAUAACAUGUUGAACCGCAUGGUUCAACAGUGAAAGACGGUCUUGCUGUCACUUAUAGAUGGAUCCGCGCCGCAUUAGCUAGUUGGUAAGGUAACGGCUUACCAAGGCAACGAUGCGUAGCCGACCUGAGAGGAUGAUCGGCCACACUGGAACUGAGACACGGUCCAGACUCCUACGGGAGGCAGCAGUAGGGAAUCUUCCGCAAUGGGCGAAAGCCUGACGGAGCAACGCCGCGUGAGUGAAGAAGGUCUUCGGAUCGUAAAACUCUGUUAUUAGGGAAGAACAAAUGUGUAAGUAACUAUGCACGUCUUGACGGUACCUAAUCAGAAAGCCACGGCUAACUACGUG
rnacentral:rRNA from 1 species